GACGAACGCUGGCGGCGUGCCUAAUACAUGCAAGUAGAACGCUGAAGAGAGGAGCUUGCUCUUCUUGGAUGAGUUGCGAACGGGUGAGUAACGCGUAGGUAACCUGCCUUGUAGCGGGGGAUAACUAUUGGAAACGAUAGCUAAUACCGCAUAACAAUGGAUGACACAUGUCAUUUAUUUGAAAGGGGCAAUUGCUCCACUACAAGAUGGACCUGCGUUGUAUUAGCUAGUAGGUGAGGUAAUGGCUCACCUAGGCGACGAUACAUAGCCGACCUGAGAGGGUGAUCGGCCACACUGGGACUGAGACACGGCCCAGACUCCUACGGGAGGCAGCAGUAGGGAAUCUUCGGCAAUGGGGGCAACCCUGACCGAGCAACGCCGCGUGAGUGAAGAAGGGUUUCGGAUCGUAAAGCUCUGUUGUAAGUCAAGAACGGGUGUGGGAGUGGAAAGUUCACACUGUGACGGUAGCUUACCAGAAAGGGACGGCUAACUACGUG
rnacentral:rRNA from 1 species